CAGCGUCACGUGGCGUCUUGUAGACUUGUGCAUGUUUAUCUACUUUCCCCUGAAAAGAGUUGAAAACAUCUCUCGAAAAGAAGACAAGAAUUUGGGCAGAAGACACAACGGUGAAGACUGACGCGUUCAUCAGCGCUUUAUAGCUCGCACUGAAGUGGCAUGAAGGGAUACUGUGUUGGGCCGCCAAACAAAUGGUGGAUGAAAACAAAGAAAGAAAGCGAAGAAAGGCUUACGAUAAGGCAAGAGGCAGGACUUUCCAACUUUUCAACUUUCCAGCGCUGGAGAGAACUGAACGUCUUCCUUGUGAAACGGAGAUUAACCUUUCACGGGAAGCACUUUAGGUCAUUGCAUCAUGAAAACAGCAAGCUCCAGGUGGUCCAGCGACAGGAUCACACGCUCUCGUUGUCAUGGCCCAGAGUUGAUUCCCAGGCAGGGAGCUAACCCAGCUACUGAAGAGUUAAUUGUGCCAGGACAGGCAUGUGCCAAAUCUAAUAUGCGGACCACGUGAUCUGCUGUGGUGACCCUGCACAGGGAGCAGCCAGAAGAAGAAGACAUCAUGAAAACAGCAUUAACAGUGGGACUGAAAUCCCUUUCCAAAAUAAACUGUACACCUUUUCACAUAAACUAUACAUUAUUUUUCUGAAGUGAAACGAGCAGCAACGUUACCCUAAACCUCAUGAUAUAAUGUUUAUAUAAUGGUUUGGGUUUUAUUUGAAUAAAAAAGAAAACGUUUCACUAUGUAUAACUCGAAUUAAACAUAUAAACUAAAAUGAUAAGAAACUGCUAAUUGCAUAAAUACAAAUUAGAAAAGAAUAUUAAAGGAAAAUAUGAUGAAAAUAAUUCAUGUGGCCUUUCAGUUCAGACCACAGCAUUGCAAAACUUUUUUUUCAACCAGUUUUACCAUCUUUCAAAUGUGUUAACCAAACAUAAAUCUAUUACUACAAAACAGAGUAGCUUGUUAUUGACCGCUUGCCUUUGUCACUGCUAAAAGCGUAUGGACGUAAGGUUACAUUUUUAAUCAGAAAUACUGGUGUAUGUGAACAACAGGAAACUGAGUCAUACUGCAAAU